rnacentral:rRNA from 1 species
UACGUAGGGGGGCUAGCGUUGUCCGGAAUCAUUGGGCGUAAAGCGCGUGUAGGCGGCCCGGUAAGUCCGCUGUGAAAGUCGGGGGGCUCAACCCUCGGAUGCCGGUGGAUACUGUCGGGCUAGAGUACGGAAGAGGCGAGUGGAAUUCCUGGUGUAGCGGUGAAAUGCGCAGAUAUCAGGAGGAACACCAAUUGCGAAGGCAGCUCGCUGGGACGUUACUGACGCUGAGACGCGAAAGCGUGGGGAGCAAACAGG